rnacentral:tRNA from 1 species
AUUUAAGUAGCUUAUCUAAAGCGUGACAUUGAAGCUGUUAAGAAGAUUUUAGAAUCCUUAAGUA